AGAGUUUGAUCAUGGCUCAGAACGAACGCUGGCGGCGCGCCUAAUACAUGCAAGUCGAACGAGAAUGUGUAGCAAUACACAUGUACAGUGGCGAACGGGUGAGGAAUACAUGGGUAACCUACCCUCGAGUGGGGAAUAACUAGCCGAAAGGUUAGCUAAUACCGCGUACGCUCCUUGGACUUCGGUUCAGGGAGGAAAGCGAUACCGUGGGUAUCGCGCUCUUGGAUGGGCUCAUGUCCUAUCAGCUAGUUGGUGAGGUAACGGCUCACCAAGGCUUCGACGGGUAGCUGGUCUGAGAGGACGAUCAGCCACACUGGCACUGCGACACGGGCCAGACUCCUACGGGAGGCAGCAGUAAGGAAUAUUGCGCAAUGGGCGAAAGCCUGACGCAGCGACGCCGCGUGGGGGAUGAAGGUCUUCGGAUUGUAAACCCCUUUCGGGAGGGAAGAUGGAGCGAGCAAUCGUUCGGACGGUACCUCCAGAAGCAGCCACGGCUAACUUCGUGCCAGCAGCCGCGGUAAUACGAAGGUGGCAAGCGUUGUUCGGAUUUACUGGGCGUACAGGGAGCGUAGGCGGUUCGGUAAGCCCUCUGUGAAAUCUCCAGGCUUAACCUGGAACAGUCGGAGGGGACUGCCGGGCUAGAGGACGGGAGAGGAGCGCGGAAUUCCCGGUGUAGCGGUGAAAUGCGUAGAGAUCGGGA
rnacentral:rRNA from 1 species